UACGUAGGGUGCAAGCGUUGUCCGGAAUUAUUGGGCGUAAAGAGCUCGUAGGCGGUUUGUCGCGUCGACUGUGAAAACCCGAGGCUUAACCUCGGGCCUGCAGUCGAUACGGGCAGACUAGAGUUCGGUAGGGGAGACUGGAAUUCCUGGUGUAACGGUGAAAUGCGCAGAUAUCAGGAGGAACACCGGUGGCGAAGGCGGGUCUCUGGGCCGAUACUGACGCUGAGGAGCGAAAGCGUGGGGAGCGAACAGG
rnacentral:rRNA from 1 species